AUGGGAAAAAACACUUUUACACGUUGUUUUUUUAAUAUUUUUGUUCAGUGUAGCUUCAAGUCGUCCCAUAUGGACUGGUCACUGUUGUUUUCUACCGAUCUGAAGAGGAGCAAAGCCUUUCCUAUAGCCUUUCAUAUCUGUCUGUUUCACAACGUGCUCCUGGACAACCCCUGGUGUUUUAGACCAAUGGAGAGGGAGCAGAACAUGCUCCUGGACAACCCCUGGUGUUUUAGACCAAUGGAGAGGGAGCAGAACAUGCUCCUGGACAACCCCUGGUGUUUUAGACCAAUGGAGAGGGAGGGAGCAGAACAUGUUCCUGGACAAUCCUGGUGUUUUAGACCAAUGG
rnacentral:lncRNA from 13 species